CCUACGGGUGGCAGCAGUGGGGAAUAUUGCACAAUGGGGGGAACCCUGAUGCAGCGACGCCGCGGGGGGGAAGGAGUAUUUCGGUAUGUAAAGCCCUAUCAGCAGGGAAGAACAAUGACGGUACCUGACUAAGAAGCACCGGCUAAAUACGUGCCAGCAGCCGCGGUAAUGCGGAUGGUGCAAGCGUUAUCCGGAUUUACUGGGUGUAAAGGGAGCGCAGGGGGCGCGAUAAGCCAGGUGUGAAAGGCCGCGGCCAAACCCCGGGACUGCCCUUGAAACGGCGGGGCUGGAGUGCGGGGGGGGCAGGUGGAAUUCCUGGUGUAGCGGUGAAAUGCGUAGAUAUCAGGAGGAACACCGGCGGCGAAGGCGGCCUUCUGGACUGUGACUGACGUUGAGGCACGAAAGCGUGGGGAGCGAACAGGAUUAGAUACCCUAGUAGUC
rnacentral:rRNA from 1 species